rnacentral:rRNA from 1 species
AUUGAACGCUGGCGGCAUGCUUUACACAUGCAAGUCGAACGGUAACAGGCCGCAAGGUGCUGACGAGUGGCGAACGGGUGAGUAAUGCAUCGGAACGUGCCCAGUCGUGGGGGAUAACGCAGCGAAAGCUGUGCUAAUACCGCAUACGAUCUAUGGAUGAAAGCGGGGGACCGUAAGGCCUCGCGCGAUUGGAGCGGCCGAUGUCAGAUUAGGUAGUUGGUGGGGUAAAGGCUCACCAAGCCAACGAUCUGUAGCUGGUCUGAGAGGACGACCAGCCACGCUGGGACUGAGACACGGCCCAGACUCCUACGGGAGGCAGCAGUGGGGAAUUUUGGACAAUGGGCGCAAGCCUGAUCCAGCAAUGCCGCGUGCAGGAAGAAGGCCUUCGGGUUGUAAACUGCUUUUGUACGGAACGAAAAGGUCUGGGUUAAUACCCUGGGCACAUGACGGUACCGUAAGAAUAAGCACCGGCUAACUACGUGCCAGCCGCCGCAGUAA